CAGGCCUAACACAUGCAAGUCGAGCGAGAAGGUUAAGAUAGAUUCUUCGGAUGACAGAUUAACUGGAAAGCGGCGGACGGGUGAGUAACGCGUGGGUAACCUGCCCCAUACACAGGGAUAGCCAUUGGAAACGAUGAUUAAUACCUGAUAAAACAUAUGAAUCGCAUGAUUUGAAUGUCAAAGAUUUAUCGGUAUGGGAUGGACCCGCGUCUGAUUAGCUAGUUGGUAAGGUAAUGGCUUACCAAGGCGACGAUCAGUAGCCGACCUGAGAGGGUGAUCGGCCACACUGGAACUGAGACACGGUCCAGACUCCUACGGGAGGCAGCAGUGGGGAAUAUUGCACAAUGGGCGCAAGCCUGAUGCAGCAACGCCGCGUGAACGAAGAAGGCUUUCGGGUCGUAAAGUUCUUUUCUUGGGGAAGAAACAUGACGGUACCUAAGGAAUAAGCACCGGCUAAAUACGUGCCAGCAGCCGCGGUAAUACGUAUGGUGCAAGCGUUAUCCGGAAUCACUGGGCGUAAAGGGUACGUAGGCGGUGAUGCAAGUCAGAAGUGAAAGGCUACGGCUCAACCGUAGUAAGCUUUUGAAACUGCAUGACUAGAGUUCAGGAGAGGUAAGUGGAAUUCCUAGUGUAGAGGUGAAAUUCGUAG
rnacentral:rRNA from 1 species